rnacentral:rRNA from 1 species
UACUCCUACGGGAGGCAGCAGUAGGGAAUCUUCCACAAUGGACGCAAGUCUGAUGGAGCAACGCCGCGUGAGUGAAGAAGGCUUUCGGGUCGUAAAACUCUGUUGUUGGAGAAGAAUGGUCGGCAGAGUAACUGUUGUCGGCGUGACGGUAUCCAACCAGAAAGCCACGGCUAACUACGUGCCAGCAGCCGCGGUAAUACGUAGGUGGCAAGCGUUAUCCGGAUUUAUUGGGCGUAAAGCGAGCGCAGGCGGUUUUUUAAGUCUGAUGUGAAAGCCCUCGGCUUAACCGAGGAAGUGCAUCGGAAACUGGGAAACUUGAGUGCAGAAGAGGACAGUGGAACUCCAUGUGUAGCGGUGAAAUGCGUAGAUAUAUGGAAGAACACCAGUGGCGAAGGCGGCUGUCUGGUCUGUAACUGACGCUGAGGCUCGAAAGCAUGGGUAGCGAACAGGAUUAGAUACCCUGGUAGUCCAUGCCGUAAACGAUGAAUGCUAGGUGUUGGAGGGUUUCCGCCCUUCAGUGCUGCAGCUAACGCAUUAAGCAUUCCGCCUGGGGAGUACGACCGCAAGGUUGAAACUCAAAGGAAUUGACGGA